UGGAAGCGUCUGGAAAGGCGCGCGAUACAGGGUGACAGCCCCGUACACAAAAAUGCACAUGCUGUGAGCUCGAUGAGUAGGGCGGGACACGUGGUAUCCUGUCUGAAUAUGGGGGGACCAUCCUCCAAGGCUAAAUACUCCUGACUGACCGAUAGUGAACCAGUACCGUGAGGGAAAGGCGAAAAGAACCCCGGCGAGGGGAGUGAAAAAGAACCUGAAACCGUGUACGUACAAGCAGUGGGAGCACGCUUAGGCGUGUGACUGCGUACCUUUUGUAUAAUGGGUCAGCGACUUAUAUUCUGUAGCAAGGUUAACCGAAUAGGGGAGCCGAAGGGAAACCGAGUCUUAACUGGGCGUUAAGUUGCAGGGUAUAGACCCGAAACCCGGUGAUCUAGCCAUGGGCAGGUUGAAGGUUGGGUAACACUAACUGGAGGACCGAACCGACUAAUGUUGAAAAAUUAGCGGAUGACUUGUGGCUGGGGGUGAAAGGCCAAUCAAACCGGGAGAUAGCUGGUUCUCCCCGAAAGCUAUUUAGGUAGCGCCUCGUGAAUUCAUCUCCGGGGGUAGAGCACUGUUUCGGCAAGGGGGUCAUCCCGACUUACCAACCCGAUGCAAACUGCGAAUACCGGAGAAUGUUAUCACGGGAGACACACGGCGGGUGCUAACGUCCGUCGUGAAGAGGGAAACAACCCAGACCGCCAGCUAAGGUCCCAAAGUCAUGGUUAAGUGGGAAACGAUGUGGGAAGGCCCAGACAGCCAGGAUGUUGGCUUAGAAGCAGCCAUCAUUUAAAGAAAGCGUAAUAGCUCACUGGUCGAGUCGGCCUGCGCGGAAGAUGUAACGGGGCUAAACCAUGCACCGAAGCUGCGGCAGCGACGCUUAUGCGUUGUUGGGUAGGGGAGCGUUCUGUAAGCCUGCGAAGGUGUGCUGUGAGGCAUGCUGGAGGUAUCAGAAGUGCGAAUGCUGACAUAAGUAACGAUAAAGCGGGUGAAAAGCCCGCUCGCCGGAAGACCAAGGGUUCCUGUCCAACGUUAAUCGGGGCAGGGUGAGUCGACCCCUAAGGCGAGGCCGAAAGGCGUAGUCGAUGGGAAACAGGUUAAUAUUCCUGUACUUGGUGUUACUGCGAAGGGGGGACGGAGAAGGCUAUGUUGGCCGGGCGACGGUUGUCCCGGUUUAAGCGUGUAGGCUGGUUUUCCAGGCAAAUCCGGAAAAUCAAGGCUGAGGCGUGAUGACGAGGCACUACGGUGCUGAAGCAACAAAUGCCCUGCUUCCAGGAAAAGCCUCUAAGCAUCAGGUAACAUCAAAUCGUACCCCAAACCGACACAGGUGGUCAGGUAGAGAAUACCAAGGCGCUUGAGAGAACUCGGGUGAAGGAACUAGGCAAAAUGGUGCCGUAACUUCGGGAGAAGGCACGCUGAUAUGUAGGUGAAGUCCCUCGCGGAUGGAGCUGAAAUCAGUCGAAGAUACCAGCUGGCUGCAACUGUUUAUUAAAAACACAGCACUGUGCAAACACGAAAGUGGACGUAUACGGUGUGACGCCUGCCCGGUGCCGGAAGGUUAAUUGAUGGGGUUAGCGCAAGCGAAGCUCUUGAUCGAAGCCCCGGUAAACGGCGGCCGUAACUAUAACGGUCCUAAGGUAGCGAAAUUCCUUGUCGGGUAAGUUCCGACCUGCACGAAUGGCGUAAUGAUGGCCAGGCUGUCUCCACCCGAGACUCAGUGAAAUUGAACUCGCUGUGAAGAUGCAGUGUACCCGCGGCAAGACGGAAAGACCCCGUGAACCUUUACUAUAGCUUGACACUGAACAUUGAGCCUUGAUGUGUAGGAUAGGUGGGAGGCUUGGAAGUGUGGACGCCAGUCUGCAUGGAGCCGACCUUGAAAUACCACCCUUUAAUGUUUGAUGUUCUAACGU
rnacentral:rRNA from 1 species